UCCGGUUUGUCACCGGCGGUCUCCUUAGAGUUCCCACCAUUACGUGCUGGCAACUAAGGACAAGGGUUGCGCUCGUUGCGGGACUUAACCCAACAUCUCACGACACGAGCUGACGACAGCCAUGCAGCAUCUGUGCACCACCCUCGAAGGCGACCGCCUUUCAGCGGCGUGCAGGUGCAUGUCAAACCUGGGUAAGGUUCUGCGCGUUGCGUCGAAUUAAACCACAUGCUCCGCUGCUUGUGCGGGUCCCCGUCAAUUCCUUUGAGUUUUAGCUUUGCGGCCGUACUCCCCAGGCGGGGUGCUUAAUGCGUUAGCUUCGGCACGGAAGGGGUCGAUAUCCCCCCACACCUAGCACCCAUCGUUUACGGCUGGGACUAC
rnacentral:misc_RNA from 1 species